GAGGCGUUUAACGCAUGAAUUAUCGAUACUCAAUAUGGUGACUGUCAAACAGCUUUACGCGAUCCAGGCUGCACGACCAAUUUGAGUCAUGUUCCGUAUAUUUUAAUGAGUGAUGUUGUUACAAUUAUUCAAAAACAUUCAAAGUUCCUGGAAAACAUCUUGACAAAGGCUACAAAUUAUUCAAUUGAUCGUACGUUCAUAAUGUAGAAGAUAUCGUUCCUCGAAGGUCAUUAAGAGGCAGUCAUGUGCAUGUGCAGCUGGGAAAUAUUCAUGUGCACACGUUGCAGCUCUGGUAUACCAGCUAGUCCACUCCAAGACACUGAAGAUGGAAGCCGGUCCGGACCUUGUGUCGAAAAAACGUCAUGUCCCCAGCUAUGGCAGGUUCCACCUCAAAUUCAUUACAUAGUGGCAAGACCACUGACCGAAGUGAAGUUUAUCAAGCUAAAAUUAUCAUAAGGAAUUCAGUUAGAACAAUGUGUGUACAGUUCACUAUACAAUCGGAUUAGUGGCAACUUUCCUAAUGUGGAGUUCAUGACUGGCCUAAAACAUAUCUUACCAUUACAUAGCAAUGUCAUUCAACUUCUCCACCAAGUACUGCCUGAUAAAUUUGAGGCUGUGGAAACCUAAAUAUCAUAUAUCCUUUGGUAAUGUUUUUGUUGGAAAUAGCCUGGCUUAUCAACUUCCAGAGACGAAGUCUGACGGAACAAUUAUUCGUAUUGAUGAUUAAAAAGAAUAUCCAGCGCUACCAAUGACCACCCAUGACUUGACUUGUCCUUAUAAUGUAGAACUAAAAGGAAACGAACAUCUGUUCAUGGAUGGUCUCGAAGUUUCCCAGAAUCAAGCAGAGAAAGUUGAGCAUAUGACCAGGAAAUAGAGUGGUUGUCCAGAAACAACUAUAAACUAUAUAUUCAUAAACUCAGACAUGACAGACUGACAUCAUCAACGUUUAAGUCCAAACACUGGGCAUGAAGCAUGGCCUUGAAAAUGAAAGUAAUUCUGUAUUGGAAUACCGAAAACACAGAAAUGUAAAUGUAAACCCCUGAUUUUUAAUAAAUCCUUGUUGGAUUUCUCAGAAAUUCACCUGAUCGGAUUGAUUACGAUCCUUAAGUAAGAACUUUCGGUGUGCUUGAGGUGAAAUGACAAAUGAGAAAAAGUUAUAAGGAUGCCCAGUUUCUAAAGCAUAAUGGUGAUGGGACAUACUCCCUGAAGAAAUCACAUGCUUAUUACCUUCAAGUGAUGGGACAAUUAGUGGACUGGACUGACCUUGGGGGACUCUUGUGUUUGGAAGCAGAAUGACAUGCAAAAUGAGCGAAUAUAUUUUGACAGAAAGUUGUGGUCGUCAGUGUUAUAAAAUUCGUGUAUUUUCUACUUUGACCAAAUGUGAAGAAAUUGUGUAAAUGCUUGUACACACAAGGUUGAACAAAUGCAAUAUUUUUGCUGUAAAAUUGAAUACAAACAUCUGUAUGAUAACAUGAUUUUUAGCUUGUAUGUUUUUGAAGAACUAACGUCUGGCUAUUAUUAUCAACCAGGCAUCCCUCGGAGUGACUUUCGUUGUGCCAAAACGUUAUCACGUUGGUCAUAGCUUAAAAACAGUUUCAGAUAUUCCAAUGUAACAACUACACAUGUUGUCAGUAACGAAACGCACAUAUAAAGUCACUCGAAGAUAGAUAACUCUGAUGGUCCUCCUAUUUUAGCUAUGUCCUAUUUUAAGUACCGACGAGCGUUCGUGCCAAAUCAGCUGCACUUUAGUUCAAUUUUAGCACAGGAAAAGAGUUUUAUAAACAGUUGUCUGCUGUAAAAUGUAUGACCAAUAUGAUGAGUUUGUGACCAAUUUUGAGAUAAACUGAAAUAUGUAUUAAUUAAUGUUUCAUAGAUAAAUAAAUCUAAACUUUUUAAGAAUAUUUUGCUAUAUAUCUUAAACUUUACUUCACAUACCAAACAUGGUGUAUUGUAAAAUUGUAAACAAACUUUUGCCUUUAAUUUAUUGUUAAUUGCAAAUGUAAUUUUGCAAGUGUAAACUGAAUCAUAAAUGAGAAAUGCUUUGUUUUAGUGUAAAAACAUCAUCAGAUGAAAUAAAAUGUGUUAUUACUGGACACUAUUUAUAUGAACAACACUUGUUAUCAUAUUGUUUUGUUUUAAGGUAAACUUUUUGAAAAUACAUUAGAACGAUUCUACAUACCAUAACACUUGAAAUUUGGUUUACAUAUUUACGAUAUAGCAAGGUGUUAAAUUAAAGAAGCGUUGGCUUUUA